rnacentral:rRNA from 1 species
AGAGUUUGAUUAUGGCUCAGGAUGAACGCUGGCGGCGUGCUUAACACAUGCAAGUCGAACGGAGUUAGAUGAAACCUAGUGAUUCUAAACUUAGUGGCGGACGGGUGAGUAACGCGUGGGUAACCUGCCAUAUACAGGGGGAUAACACUUAGAAAUAGGUGCUAAUACCGCAUAAGCGCACAGGACCGCAUGGUCUGGUGUGAAAAAACUCCGGUGGUAUAUGAUGGACCCGCGUCUGAUUAGCUAGUUGGUGAGGUAACGGCCCACCAAGGCGACGAUCAGUAGCCGGCCUGAGAGGGUGAACGGCCACAUUGGGACUGAGACACGGCCCAAACUCCUACGGGAGGCAGCAGUGGGGAAUAUUGCACAAUGGGGGAAACCCUGAUGCAAGCGACGCCGCGUGAGUGAAGAAGUAUUUCGGUAUGUAAAGCUCUAUCAGCAGGAAAGAAAAUGACGGUACCUGACUAAGAAGCCCCGGCUAACUACGUGCCAGCAGCGGC